rnacentral:tRNA from 1 species
GGUGGCUCACUGGUAGAGCGCUUGCUUUGCAUGCAUGAGACCCUGGGUUCGAUUCCUCAGCACCA